rnacentral:rRNA from 1 species
UACGUAGGGUGCGAGCGUUGUCCGGAAUUAUUGGGCGUAAAGAGCUCGUAGGCGGUGUGUCGCGUCGGUCGUGAAAACUUGGGGCUUAACUCUGAGCUUGCGGUCGAUACGGGCAUCACUGGAGUUCGGCAGGGGAGACUGGAAUUCCUAGUGUAGAGGUGAAAUUCGUAGAUAUUGGGAAGAACACCGGUGGCGAAGGCGGCUCUCUGGACCGAGACUGACGCUGAGGCGCGAAAGCGUGGGGAGCAAACAGG